UACGGAGGAUCCAAGCGUUAUCCGGAUUUAUUGGGUUUAAAGGGUGCGUAGGCGGAUUGAUAAGUUAGAGGUGAAAUGUCCGAGCUCAACUCGGGAACUGCCUCUAAUACUGUUGAUCUAGAGAGUAGUUGCGGUAGGCGGAAUGUAUGGUGUAGCGGUGAAAUGCUUAGAGAUCAUACAGAACACCGAUUGCGAAGGCAGCUUACCAAUCUAUAUCUGACGUUGAGGCACGAAAGCGUGGGGAGCAAACAGG
rnacentral:rRNA from 1 species